GAUGAACGCUAGCGGCAGGCCUAAUACAUGCAAGUCGAACGGGAUCCAGAUCAAAGCUUGCUUUGGUUUGGUGAGAGUGGCGCACGGGUGCGUAACGCGUGAGCAACCUACCCUUGUCAGGGGUAUAGCCCGGCGAAAGUCGGAUUAAUACCGCAUGACAUCAUUGAGAGGCAUCUUUCGAUGAUCAAAGAUUUAUCGGACAAGGAUGGGCUCGCGUGACAUUAGCUAGUUGGUAAGGUAACGGCUUACCAAGGCUACGAUGUCUAGGGGCUCUGAGAGGAGAAGCCCCCAGACGGGUACCGAGAAAAGGACCAGACUGAUACGGGAGGGAGUAGUAAGGAAGACUGGACAAUGGAAGGAAGUCUGAACCAGCCAUGCCGGGUGCAGGAAGACGGCCCUAGGGGUUGUAAACUGCGUUUAUACGGGAACAAACGUCGGUACGGGUACCGGUCUGAGUGUACCGGAAGAAUAAGGAUCGGCUAACUACGUG
rnacentral:rRNA from 1 species